rnacentral:rRNA from 1 species
AGAGUUUGAUCCUGGCUCAGAACGAACGCUGGCGGCAUGCUUAACACAUGCAAGUCGAACGGACUUGUGGAGCUUGCUCUACAAGUUAGUGGCAGACGGGUGAGUAACGCGUGGGAAUGUACCUUUUGGUUCGGAAUAACUGCGGGAAACUGUGGCUAAUACCGGAUGAGCCCUUAGGGGGAAAGAUUUAUCGCCAAGGAGAGCAGCCCGCGUUAGAUUAGGUAGUUGGUGGGGUAAAGGCCUACCAAGCCGACGGAUCUAUAGCUGGUCUGAGGAGGAUGAUCAGCCACACUGGGACUGAGACACGGCCCAGGACUCCUACGGGGAGGCAGCAGUGGGGGAAUAUUGGGACAAUGGGGGGAAACCCUGGAUCCAGCCAAUGCCGCGUGAGUGAUGAAGGCCUUCGGGUUGUAAAGCUCUUUUGUCAGGGACGAUGAU